CCAUUUUCAGCCAUCUGGAGGUGCCAUAAUCAUAAAUUUAGACCCUUCAUCUACGAAAGUCCCUCCCUGGACCCCCUCCAUUUUUGGAAUUCCUUGAUCUGCCACUGCAGAUCUCCUGGAAUUGACUUCCAACUUUGGACCCCUGCUGCAGAAUAAUUUUAUUACCGUAAGUGUAUUAUUGAUGUUUUUUUUAGCUGAACAAGAUUUGUACGUCCUUGAUGCUCAGAACACAGCUCUCACAAUCUCUAUCCGAUCUAUUACAUCCAUUGAAGGGUAUAAUAGUAUUCUAAGCAGCCUGGCAGUACAGAACCAGCUACCAGCCGGGGACUCCACAAGCUGGGCCUAAACAAAAGGUUAAAGGAGGCUUGAGGGCCCUAUUUCAGAAGAAAGGACAGGCUUACUUAGCAGUAUUCAGAGUGGAGGAAAUCUACAGAGUAGUAUAGGUGGAGCGAGUCUACAGGUUUCCCAACCCAUGGCCGUGGCAAGUACAGCCUCGUGCAACUUCCAUACAAUAGAUAUAAAUUUCAGUGCAAUUUACAUGCAUCAGCUUCAUGAUCGCAAUAUAAAUUCAAUACCACAAGGAAAAUGUUCCCCAAGUGGUACUCCUCGAGAAUCAUGGUUUCGGCAAGACACGCAGGAUGAUAAUUCAGAAGAUACGACACCGGCAAUGUCGCUAAGAGCCCCCGAACCAGUAGUGGCUGAAAGUCUGCUUGUCGACACACAGCAAGAGACAUCCACAAUUGGAAAUCUGACAGUGUGACCCAUUUGACCUCAGAUCGCAUUUACAUUCAU